rnacentral:rRNA from 1 species
UACAGAGGUCUCAAGCGUUGUUCGGAUUCAUUGGGCGUAAAGGGUGCGUAGGUGGCGUGGUAAGUCGGGUGUGAAAUUUCGGAGCUUAACUCCGAAACUGCAUUCGAUACUGCUGUGCUUGAGGACUGGAGAGGAGACUGGAAUUUACGGUGUAGCAGUGAAAUGCGUAGAGAUCGUAAGGAAGACCAGUGGCGAAGGCGGGUCUCUGGACAGUUCCUGACACUGAGGCACGAAGGCCAGGGGAGCAAACGGA